UACGUAGGGGGCUAGCGUUGUCCGGAAUCAUUGGGCGUAAAGAGCGUGUAGGCGGCCCGGUAAGUCCGCUGUGAAAGUCGGGGGCUCAACCCUCGAAUGCCGGUGGAUACUGUCGGGCUAGAGUGCGGAAGAGGCGAGUGGAAUUCCUGGUGUAGCGGUGAAAUGCGUAGAGCUCCGGAGGAACACCAGUGGCGAAGGCGGCCGCCUGGGCCAGUCCUGACGCUGAGCCGCGAAAGCGUGGGGAGCGAUCCGG
rnacentral:rRNA from 1 species